GACGAACGCUGGCGGCGUGCUUAACACGUGCAAGUCGAACGAUGAAGCUGGAGCUUGCUCUGGUGGAUUAGUGGCGAACGGGUGAGUAACACGAGAGUAACCUGCCCUGAACUCUGGGAUAAGCGUUGGAAACGACGUCUAAUACCGGAUAGGACCUUGGAUCGCAUGAUCUGGGGUGGAAAGUUUUUCGGUUUGGGAUGGACUCACGGCCUAUCAGCUUGUUGGUGAGGUAAUGGCUCACCAAGGCGUCGACGGGUAGCCGGCCUGAGAGGGUGACCGGCCACACUGGGACUGAGACACGGCCCAGACUCCUACGGGAGGCAGCAGUGGGGAAUAUUGCACAAUGGGCGCAAGCCUGAUGCAGCAACGCCGCGUGCGGGAUGACGGCCUUCGGGUUGUAAACCGCUUUUAGUAGGGAAGAAGCGCAAGUGACGGUACCUGCAGAAAAAGCACCGGCUAACUACGUGCCAGCAGCCGCCGUAACAC
rnacentral:rRNA from 1 species